CGCUGAGUAACGCCUGACCUCUGUAACCAAACCGUUACAUGUAUCGUCUGCAAAUGAAGCUGUACAUGAAGUAUAAGGAUGCACAUUAAUCAAAUGCUCCACAAUUGAAGGUCAUCACUGGAUUCAUCGGACAACCAUUAAUAAUAAGCGUAUGUGUAUUUAUUUUGUUAUUACAUAAUAUGGAAUAUGUUUUUGUGCAUCGUUGUGUGUGUGUGUGUUGUGUGUGUGUGGAUGUGUGUGGAUGUGUGUGGAUGUGCGUGUGUGUGUUGUAUAUCUUCAUUUGAGCAUGUAAAUUUGACAGGGUUCGCACGGAGCACUUGAGUUUGCAACGUCAUGAGAUCUGUUUGAAAUAGCAGCCAAAUCUCUGUCGAUUCACACCUUACUGAUUUACAAAAGAGGUCCUUAUCCAUCACAGUAUGCGGAUUUGCAGUUCUGGAAACACUAUCUGCAAAAAUAAAUAAAUAAAUAAAUAAAAUAAAAUAAAAUAAAAUAAAAGACAGGACAGCCACGAGUGGAAUCGGUUUUGAAUAUGUCGGCCGAAUCGUGGCUGACAUGGGGGUAAAUAUAACAACAUCGCAUGUAGCGAACGUGUAUUUGUAUACGCGUGUGUGUAUAUGUGAGUGUGUGACUGAUUGUGUUGUUUGUGUGUGUAUUGACUUGUGGAUGUGUUUAUCUGUAAGGGUAUUUCUAUAGGUGCGUGUAUAUAUCAUAUUUGUGUCGAUGAGUGUCGAUGUAUAUCUGUGAGUGAUGCAACUUUGUUUCCAUGUGACCUUUGGAUAUGUGUGCGCGCGUGUGUGGCAUGUGUGUGUAUAUGUGGGAGAUAGAGAAACAGAGUAUGUGUACAUGUGUGUGUGUGUGUGCGCGCACACACAGCAUACACACACAAUAAACAAUUCACACACAUAUGUCUGUAGAUGUAUAUGUGUGUGUCUAUAUAUGUUUGUACGUACGUAUAUACAUUUGUAUGCAUGUGCGUGUGUGUGUGUAAAUAUGUAUGUUCAUAUGCAUGUAUGCAUGUGUAAGAAGGGUAUUGCGUACGCCUUGUUUGCCGUUGUGUAUGUAUGUUUGAUGCUUCGGAUUUGCACGUGUGUGUACGUAUAUCUAUCUAUCUAUCUAUCUAUCUAUCUAUCUAUCUAUCUAUCUAUCUAUCUAUCUAUAUUUCUGUCUAUCUGUCUGUCUGUCUAUCUAUCUAUCUAUCUAUCUAUUAUAUAUAUAUAUAUAUAUAUAUAUUUCUUUUAUGUCUAUUAUAUAUAUAUAUAUUCUUUUAUUCUUUUACUUGUUUCAGUCAUUUGAUUGCGGCCAUGCUGGGGCACCGCCUUUAGUUGAACAAAUCGACCCCAGCACUUAUUCUUUGUAAGCCCAGUACUUAUUCUAUCGGUCUCUUUACUAAGUUACAGGGACGUAAACACACCAGCAUUGGUUGUUAAUCGAUGGUGGUGGUGGUGGGGACAAAUACAGACACACAAACAUACAAUUACACACACACACACAUGUAUAUAUAUAUAUAUAUAUAUAUAUAUAUAUAUAUACGAUGGGCUUCAUUCGGUUUCCAAGGCUUUGGUCGGCCCGGGGUUUAUAGUAGAAGGCACUUGCCGAAGGUGCCAUGCAGCGGGACUGAACUUGGGACCAUGUACUUGGUAAGCAAGCUAUUUACCACACAGCCACUCCUGCGCCUAUGCAUAUAUAUAUGUGUGUGUGUGUGUGUGUGUGUGUGUGUGUGUGUGUGUGUGUGUGUGUGUGUGUGCUUUCAUAUAUAUAUAUAUAUAUAUAUAUAUAUAUAUAUAUAUACAUAUAUAUAUAUACGUGCGGUUGAAUCUGUUUUUAAGGAGCUCGCUUCGAGAGUUGCAUUCCCUCGCAAUCGGUGCACUGUAUUUAUUAUGAUAGUUUUGACUUUAAGAGUCCCUCAUAGCGUGAGGCAUUUAUGUAUAGUUAUGCCCUUAAUAUAAAUAAGCACACCCACACACACAAGUAUUUGUUGUUUGCAUGUCCUCGUGUUUUGCGUGUGCCUAUGCGGAAGCUUCCUUGCAUGUAAGAGUUUAUGCUUAUCUAUCUAUGCUUGUGUAUACGUUUUGCAUGUGUUCGCUUUCCAUAUGUCUGCUUAAGUAUAGUCGUAAUAUGUACGAGUGACGUUGCAUAUUUUGAAUCUGUGAGUCUAUCAACGAGCGUGUGUAUGUAUGCGUGUGUGCAUGCGUGUAUCUGUGUGUGUGUGUGUGUGUGUGUUUGGAUGUAUGUGUGUGUGUGUAUGUGUGUGAAGUAUCUGCUUUUAUGCGAGAGUUAUAGUAUAGUUGUGUACAUGUUUAUGCCUCGGUGUGCUAUUAUAUAUAAUAGAAUGUCAUAGCUUGAGUGUACAUGUGUGUAUAUGUGUGUUCUCUGUAAAUUUUUUUAAUGCGUGUGUCUUGUCAAUGAGCACCUUUGUGUGUGCAUAUAUGUGCAUAUAUAUAUAUAUAUAUAUAUAUAUAGGAGUGGGUGUGUGGUAAGUAGCUUGCUAACCAACCACAUGGUUCCGGGCUCAGUCCCACUGCGUGGCACCUUGGGCAAGUGUCUUCUGCUAUAGCCCCGGGCCGACCAAUGCCUUGUGAGUGGAUUUGGUAGACGGAAACUGAAAGAAGCCUGUCGUAUAUAUGUAUAUAUAUAUGUAUGUAUGUGUGUGUGUGUUUGUGUGUCUGUGUUUGUCCCCCUGGCAUUGCUUGACAACUGAUGCUGGUGUGUUUACGUCCCCGUCAACUAGCGGUUCGGCAAAAGAGACCGAUAGAAUAAGUACUGGGCUUACAAAGAAUAAGUCCCGGGGUCGAUUUCCUCGACUGAAGGCGGUGCUCCAGCAUGGCCGCAGUCAAAUGACUGAAACAAGUAAAAGAGUAAAAGAGUAAAGAGUAUAUACACAUACACACAUUCGCACACACACACACACACAUAUAUAUGUAUGUCAGUACUCAUAGAUAAGUGUGUGUGUGUUAGUUGCGUACGUGUGUAUGUUCAGACGCAUUUGUAGUUGAAUGACUGUGUCAGUGUGUCUGUGACUUCGUAUGUUUGACAUUCCAUAUAUUGCUGUGCGCAUGCGUCGAGCCGAGCUGUACAGGAGCUUGUGUAAACGCACACGUGCGCGCGCCUAUGUGUGUGUGUGUGCGCGCGCGUGUGUCUGUGCGUAUGUAUGUUAUUGUAUCUGCGUUUACUCCAAUGCGUACAUGUAUGUAUAUAUAUGAGUAUAUAUAGCCGUACGUCUCAGUGACACGGUGAAAGAGCUACGUGGAUAUGAUAACAGGCAAUCAACACGUCAUUUAGGCGUGAUAGCUGACCAUCCCACGAAUCACAGCUCUCUCUCUCUCUCUUUCUCUCUCUCUCCCUCUCUCUCUCUCUCUUUCUCUCUCUCUAUCUAUCUAUCUAUCUAUCUAUCUAUCUAUCUAUAUAUCUAUCUAUCUUUCUCCCACUUCUGUCUGUCUGGCGCUUGGACAACAGAUAUUAGUGACACCUCACAUCUGCAAUGACGUCUUUCGUAUUUUGUCUGCGAAAAACAACCUGUUUCGUUUUGGUUUAGUUGCCUCCUUGCCCCGUAGGGGGGUUGCAAAAAAAGUAAAAAGUAAAAAAAAAAAAAAAAAAUAGUGAGUUAAAUACAUUCAAAGACGCAGUUUUCGGUGACUGACAUCACUAAAAUGUGUGUGCGAAUGUGCUAAUGUUUGUGUAUACGUGUACGUGUUUGUGUGUGUGUAGGUGUACGUGUUUGUGUUUGUGUGUGUGAUUAAUGUGUAUAUGUGUGUACGAGUGUACGCGUAACAUGUAUAUGCGUGAGUGCAUGAGUAUAUGUAUGCACACAUGUACGUAUAUAUGUGUGUGUGUGUGUGUGUUUGAUUAAAUAGAUAGAUUUACAUAUGUAUACAGAUAUAUUAUGUACACAUAUAUGUGUAUAUGUAUGUGUGUGUGUGUGUGUAUACAUAUAUAUAUAUAUACAUAAUAAAUACAUACAUAUAUAUGUGUGUAUGUGUGUGUUUGUGUGUGUGUGUAUAUAUAUACAUAAUAAAUACAUACAUAUAUAUGUGUGUAUGUGUGUGUUUGUGUGUGUGUGUAUAUAUAUAUAUAUACAUAAUAAAUACAUACAUAUAUAUGUGUGUAUGUGUGUGUUUGUGUGUGUGUGUGUGUGUGUGUGUUAUAAAGGAAGAGGUGGGGGUGACUCACUUACCCCACCUCAUUCCUCCUAUUUUCUUCUCUACACUCUUACUGUUUCUCCGCUAGCUCUCUCCUACUCUCUCUCUCUCACUCUCUCUCUCUCUCUCUCUCUCUCUAGCUCUCUUUCACUUUCACUUCUAUCCCUCUUCAUUUCACACUCCCCCCCCCCUUAUACUGUGUAAUAAUAUUACAUUCAUAAGUAAACACGCACACACACACCAUCAUAUCUAUUAUCUCUCUGUCUCCCCUUUCCUCUUUGUCUCUCUUUCUCUCUCUCUCUCUCUCUCUCUCUCUCUCUUCAACAGGACCUCUCCCUUUUCCUUCUUUUUGACCUACACAAACUCAUACAUAUUCAUGUAUGAGUUUCACUAUGUUAGUUUCUCUCUCUCUCUCUCGCUCGCUCUAUCUCUCUUUCGCCCUCUCCCCCUUGUCUCUCUCUCUCACUUAAUCUCUCUUUCUCCCUCCCUCCCUCCCUCCCUACCCCUGGUCUCUCCCUCCCUCUCGCUCUAUCUCUCUUUCGCCCUCUCUCCCUAUCUCCCUCUCUCUCUCACUCUCACUCAAUCUCUCUUUCUCCCUCCCUCCUCAUUCCCCUGGUCUCUCUUCCUCUCGCUCCUAUCUCUCUUUCGGCCUCUCUCCCCUUCUCCCCCCCUCUCUCUCACUCAAUCUCUCUUUCUCCCUCUCUUCCCCUUCUCUUCCUUUACCUCUAUUUGACAUCACGUACACAAACGUACGCACGCCCACCCUCUUGUCUGUCCUACACACUCAGUCCUCUUUUACCACACACACACACUGAUCUACUCAUAUGCACACACGCAUAUUCACACACUCAUACACACAUACGCACUCAUACAAGCAUUUCAGACACUUUCUCUAUUUCACACAUACACAUACAUACACAUAGACUUCUUAUCUUUCUAUUUGUUUUUUCCCAGUAUGUUACAUCCUUUCUGGUUUCUGUACUUUUCUUCCAAAUAGUCUCACUUGCUUUCUCUCUUUUUCACACACACACACACACACACACACACACACACACACACACACACACACAUAUAUUCCUUCUCUCUCCCCCUAUGGGUGCACGGACAUAACUUUGUUACUUGUUUCAUUCAUUUGACUGCUGCCAUACUGGGCCACCACCUCGAAGAAUUUAGUAAAGCAAAUUGACCUUAGUAGUCGUUUUUUAAUUUUUUCGGUGAGGGAGGGUGGUACUUAUAACUUAUAAUUUGGUACUUAUAACUAUCAAUCUCUUCGGCCGAACAUUAAGCUAAAACUAUGGGAACGUAAACAAACCAACCUCUGUCGUCAAGCGCUGCUGGGACAGCAAACACAAAUAGACACGCACACACAUAUAUCUAUAUAUAUAAAACUGUAGUUGUGUGAGUGUCUGUCCCCUUCGAUUUAGAUUCCUAACUACUCCCACAUUUUGCGGUGCAGUUUAACCAAAUUCGGGUAUCUUAUAGUCGUGAUUCAUAUCGAGCCCGUCUGGGUAUUAGCGCGCGUCUACGAUGAGUCUACGAUUUUAAAAAUAAUUUAACAUAAUUUUUUAUUCCAUUUUAAUGCAUAAUUUUUCGUGUGUCGAUGGCGGCGGAGUUGGCGUCCAUGGUCACACCUGCACCUGUUUGCUUCUCCCCCUUCUUCCCUCCCUCGUGAAGCUGUGGGGAAGGGAGUGUAAGGAAAUCAACGUCGUAAAGCGUUGUCAAGGAGACCAGCGUUCUUUUAGAACAACGACUUCAUGGCUUGAAGACACCAAAACAGAUAUGGCUAAGAAAGCCCGAAUUGGCAUCUAUAAGGGUAGUAACUCUCUAAAAAUGCUUAUAUAGUUAUUUCCCUUACAAACCCGAGCAACGCCGGGCGAUACUGCUAGUACGAUAUAUAAAUAUACUUAGACAGACAGACAGAUAGAUAGAUAGAUAGAUAGAUAGAUAGAUAGAUAGAUAGAUAGAUAGAUAGAUAGAUAGAUAGAUAGAUAGAUAGAUAGAUAGAUAGAUAGAUAGAUAGAUAGAUAGACAGAUAGAUAGAUAGGCAGGCAGGCAGGCAGACAGGCAAGCAGGCAGACAGACAGACAGACAGACAGACAGACAGACAGACAGAUAGGUAGGUAGAUAGAUAGAUAGAUAGAUAGAUAGAUAGAUAGAUAGAUAGAUAGAUAGAUAGAUAGAUGGAGAUACAAGUCGGGUAUGCACACAUUUUCCGUCUACCAAAUUCAUUCACACACAAGGCAUUGAUCGGCCUGGGGCUAGUAGAAGACAUCUGCGCAAGGGGCCACGCAGUGGAAUUAAACCCAGAACGAUAUAGCUGCCAAGCAGCCCUUCUUACCACAAAGCCAUGCCUGCCCUCACAGUCAUGUCUUAAGAAAGAAGCUUUGAUUCCAUAGAUGGCACUUCGGACGAGUGUCUUCUAGUUUUUAAUACCCUUCUGUAAACUCAAGCUUUGUGAAUGAAAUUGGUUUGAUGGACAUUAUACAGAAGACUGUCGACUGAACAGUACCUGUGAUUCGAAGCAUCUGCCAUUGUUUAGAAACAGUGCCACGCUGAAUCUGUUUGAGAAAUACGUUAGGGCUUGGUGCCUACGAAAUACUCAGCUACUUAUAACGAAUGGAUAGUUCCGUUAAUUCGAAUAACAGGAACACUUCUUCGUGAAAGUUGAUGAAGACGGAGGUCCUUGAUAUAUACGUGUGUGGGGGUGAGUGUAUAUAUAUAUAUGUAUGUGUGUUUGUAUUUAUACAAACACAGACUUUCACACACACAGAUUGUACCGAAAGUAAUAUAAAAGUGGACAUAGCUUUUUAUUAACGGACUCUAUAGUCGUUUAAAUUGCACCUGUUAGUAAAGUUACUCUACAUCUGUACUUAUUCUAUUUCCUCUUCUCCUUUUUUGCAGACAAAUAAUGGAUUCCAGACAGAACAUACAACAUACUGUCGUUGACUUCUUGAUGAAAGAUGUAUUCAGGCUAACCGACAUCUACAGAAGACAACAGGUUGUUUACAGAAAUGUCUCC
rnacentral:lncRNA from 1 species